GCUCCCGUUGACAAGCGGCCUAAGUCAACCGGCUUUCUACCGGUUACCGCGGGUUCGAAUCCCGCCGGGAGUA
rnacentral:tRNA from 1 species